rnacentral:rRNA from 1 species
AUUGAACGCUGGCGGAAUGCUUUACACAUGCAAGUCGAACGGCAGCACGGGGGCAACCCUGGUGGCGAGUGGCGAACGGGUGAGUAAUACAUCGGAACGUGCCCAGUCGUGGGGGAUAACGUAGCGAAAGUUACGCUAAUACCGCAUACGAUCUACGGAUGAAAGCGGGGGACCGUAAGACCUCGCGCGAUUGGAGUGGCCGAUAUCAGAUUAGGUAGUUGGUGGGGUAAAGGCCCACCAAGCCAACGAUCUGUAGCUGGUCUGAGAGGACGACCAGCCACACUGGAACUGAGACACGGUCCAGACUCCUACGGGAGGCAGCAGUGGGGAAUUUUGGACAAGGGGCGAAAGCCUGAUCCGGCCAUUCCGCGUGCAGGAUGAAGGCCCUCGGGUUGUAAACUGCUUUUGUACGGAACGAAACGGUCUGGGUUAAUACCCUGGGCUAAUGACGGUACCGUAAGAAUAAGCACCGGCUAACUACGUGCCAGCCGCCGCCGCGG